CCUACGGGGGGCUGCAGUGGGGAAUAUUGGACAAUGGGGGCAACCCUGAUCCAGCCAUGCCGCGUGUGUGAAGAAGGCCCUCGGGGUGUAAAGCACUUUCAGUGAGGAAGAACGCCUGGUGGUUAAUACCCAUCAGGAAAGACAUCACUCACAGAAGAAGCACCGGCUAACUCCGUGCCAGCAGCCGCGGUAAUACGGAGGGUGCGAGCGUUAAUCGGAAUUACUGGGCGUAAAGCGCGCGUAGGUGGCUUGAUAAGCCGGUUGUGAAAGCCCCGGGCUCAACCUGGGAACGGCAUCCGGAACUGUCAAGCUAGAGUGCAGGAGAGGAAGGUAGAAUUCCCGGUGUAGCGGUGAAAUGCGUAGAGAUCGGGAGGAAUACCAGUGGCGAAGGCGGCCUUCUGGACUGACACUGACACUGAGGUGCGAAAGCGUGGGUAGCAAACAGGAUUAGAUACCCUUGUAGUC
rnacentral:rRNA from 1 species